CAAACAUGAAGGUCCUGCUGCUCACUCUGCUGCUCCUGCUGUCUAGCACUCAAGUGCUCUCUAUCAGAUGUUACACCUGCCACAGUGCAGAUGACACCUGUGAUUCAACAGCAGCAUGCUCAAGUGACGAGUACUUCUGCAAGACUUAUAACAACAAUGGUGCUGUUACCCGCUCCUGUGCGAAGUCAUGUACAGAGGACAACUCCACAUCCUGCUGCAAAGAAGACUAUUGCAAUGGACCCUAGGGACCACUCAGCUUUCUGAUCAUUCUGCCUCAUCUUAACACAAGAAAAAGAGUCAUUGAAAUCUAAAUGCUGCUGAGGAUGACAUGGUCAUUUGAAAGAUUGAAAUCCUGUCUUUGAUUUGCUUUGCUGUCAUGUUUCUAUUAAUUCUACAAAUGUGAAAUUGCAUAGUCUUAUUCCUCAUUAUUUACUCAACUCUAAUGGUCACAACCAUGAAUUUUGUAAUUCACUAGUGCUGGAAGCGGGGCAACUACACACAUGCACACAAAGACACACUUAAUCCUGUACUGGCUUGAUGUCACUUAGUGGGUCACUGCAACAGCGUCUGAUAUGUGGGUCGCUCUCUGUCUGUGCUGUAACGUAAAGCUGGAAGUCAUCUGUAUCAAAUCAUUCAGCAAAAAAUGAAUAAAUCUUUGAAAUGAA